GAGUUUGAUCAUGGCUCAGAACGAACGCUGGCGGCGCGUCUUAAGCAUGCAAGUCGAACGGUAAGGGAGAGCUUGCUCUCCCCUAGAGUGGCGGACUGGUGAGUAACGCGUGGGUGACCUGCCCUGAAGAUGGGGAUAGCUAGUAGAAAUAUUAGAUAAUACCGAAUGUGCUCAUUUACAUAAAGGUAAAUGAGGAAAGGAGCUACGGCUCCGCUUCAGGAUGGGCCCGCGUCCCAUUAGCUGGUUGGUGAGGUAAAGGCCCACCAAGGCAACGAUGGGUAUCCGGCCUGAGAGGGUGAACGGACACAUUGGGACUGAGAUACGGCCCAAACUCCUACGGGAGGCAGCAGCUAAGAAUCUUCCGCAAUGGACGAAAGUCUGACGGAGCGACGCCGUGUGAAUGAAGAAGGCUGAAAGGUUGUAAAAUUCUUUUGCAGAUGAAGAAUAAACACAGGAGGGAAUG
rnacentral:rRNA from 1 species